CGAGGUCUGCCGAGCAUCAACAUCUAAUCAUUCAUCUCAGGGGUAUAUUUUCAAAUGUCAAUUUCAGUGCAGUGCAAUGCAGGUCAAUGAACAACAUGCAGUUGUAAUAUGAAUAAUAAUUGCAACAAAAACAGUUUUUUUCAAUGUUUUAAACAAAAAUAACAUUUUUUAAAACCUAAAACUUUACAUUUAAAUCAAUGCGUGGAAAUGGUAAACUUGAAUUUGUGGCCUUUAACUGAUUCAUCUGAUUUUAAAAUUUCAAAAUUGAGUUUUUUUUUAGUUUAACCUCUUUGUUCUUAAAUGUACAAUUGUAUCUAGCUAACUUUCAUUCCAUGUUAGAUGUACACACUUUCUCCUGAAAGUUCUUUAAACUCUGACAUGAACUAGUUAUUUUACAUUAUUUCUUCUCUUUAAUGCUGGACACGGUGUGUAGACAUGACAAGACUUGAUGUCAGAUCAUCCCAAUGAAUGGCCAAUUACAGGCGUGUAACCAAGCUGCAUUAUCACCACCUCAUUGGGAGGCUGCAUUAGAGAUGCACAGAAGAUCAGAGGAAGGACAUUCCCCCCGGCGCCAUUAUUAACAGAACAAAAUUGUCUUGCAAGCUGCCUGUAGAAUCCACGGAUUUCCACUGAAAAGGUAAAGUAUGACCAUCUCUCCUGCCCAAGUUUUCAGGCAACCCCACAUUUAAACCAUUUGCAUCACAAAACACACAAUGCAGGCUACUUUUCCCAGACCAAUUACUGUAAAUGUGGCCAUUUACAUCUUUUCAUCAUCAUUGUUCUUGUGAAAUCAGCUCUGAGAGCCAUUGCUCGGAUUGAAUACAUUAGCAUGCACACUUAGAUGUGUUGUCUGCGGUACAGAGAUGAAAGAGACACACAUUCUGCAACACUCAUUGAUUUGUCAGUAUUUGACGGGAAAUACUCUCAAAAAAAGUUUCCACUGUUUGUGUUUGUCGUGAGUUCACUUUUUAAUUUAGGACAAGUUGUGGGAUCACGAUCCGCAAAGAACAUCCUGUUCUGGAACAAUAUGGUCAAAAUGUAAUGUUGUUUUCUUGAGUUCUUGAAGGUGCACUUUGAACAGUAAUACCUCACAAGAUUAAACAAUUAUUAUAUACUUGUUUUUGCUCAUGUUACACCAUGAGCUUUUAGUGGACCUAAAAAAAAGCGACACCUUAUUUUGUAACUUUUACGAGAAGCGGCCACAAAGAGCAGGCCGAGAACAGCAACUGGUUCGUCCUGAUUUUUGGACACAAGUAGCUCAUGUGGACUGGUUGACUUUCUGCACGUGCACCUGCAAGUGUUACCCAAUCACGGCAUUUUGUAUAAGAUGCCUUGGUGAUGUGGUGGAAGAAAUUACUUCAAUAAACAGUAAAACAAACAUGUAGAAAUUGGAGCUAGUUUUAGCUUCUGAAUUUAUCGUAAUGCAACAUUGCGCUUGAGUAAAUCUGGGGUUGGUAAAAUGAUUGAUGGGGGAAAUCAGAUCAUUUAGAGCUAACAAAUUUCGUCUUAUAUUUGGUUUUCUAAUUUUUAUUAUUAUGUGAGUGUCACUGGUUUAUUUUCUAUCAGUGUAUCGUUUUUUAAUACCUAGAAACAAAAGCUCAGCUAGAUGAGGUGAAAAAAAGUGCAUAGUUUUCCUCUGAAACACAUGCAGUCAAAAAUAAAUAGCAUGAAAAGGAAAAUCCUUUUUUUAUAUUCAACAUAUCUUGCAAAAAAUAUUUCAUUCAUCUCUUGGUUGAGAUUUUGUAAUGAAAUAAUAAUUUUCGAUCCCUUAUAAAAAUAGGCUUUCAUAACAGCAGUAGUCAGAACUUAAUUGGUAGACUCAAGCUACAUUCAAUUAUUUUGUAUUAACUUGGAGCAGCGGAGCAAGCCGUCAUGGGAUCAUUGACGCAUCGCAUUAAAUAAAGUUUAUUUGGCAGCAAAGUUAAACGUCAAACGUCCAGCUGAGAAACAACAGCACCCAAUUUGCAGUCGUUUUUCUGUUCACCCGACAAUCAAACUCCGAGGCUCACUCUUUAAGGCCUGCUAUUGUUUCCUCCAAAUUCUAUCUACCCAAACUAUGUGCUAAAAGACACUAAAACGUAAAGCUGAGCAGCCUGUGAAACGGGUGCGAUGACAUAGUUUGAAGACCGAAAAGCCCACUUGGGAUGGGUCGAAUAAACAGAGGACUGUCACCCAGCAGACAGCUGUUCUCUGUUGUUGGUCCUUGUGUCUGGCUGUCCACACAAAAGGUGCAAGAUACAAGAUUUUGGGUGCCUCUGAACGCCUCAUUCAUUAUACUUACUAUACUGUGUGUGUGUGUGUGUGUGUGUGGCAGCUGCUGAUCAGUCCAGCCAAGAGAGAAUUAUGUCCCUCCUGUGGAGGACGAGAGAGAGGCCAACAAGGGACAGCGGGACUGAAGUCCAGAGUGUGUGGUGCGAGUAAAGCCCCUUCUCUCCUCUUCCCUUGCGCUCCUCUUCUCCCCGCCACCGGCCUCCAGACACAAGCCUCUUUCUGUUGGGGCAUCGCCAUGGAAACCAAGCCACUAACUUGAGGGGGGCGACAUAAAAACCUGCUCUUUUAGGGGACACAGGAACACCUGCCACCUUCGCUGACUGGGAGGGCUGGGCUGGUGGCCUGGCCACAGGCAGACACACACUUACAUACAAAUUCAUGUGGUCACCAAUGCAGACACACACACACACACAAACAGAGGAUCAGUGCAACGAAGGAGAGCUUUAGCUAACAUCUGCUGCCUUUUAGAAACUCAUUUAUCUUCCAGCAUCAGGUUGUUUGGUGGCUUUCUUAACUCAUGUUCUGUGAAAAAACAAGGAAAGGUUUAUUUUGGGAACAAAGAAUCCAUUAUUAUUAAGGUUGAUGGUUUAGGGCUACAAAACUCAUCUUUUCUUAUUUUAACAUCUUGAUUUUGUAUUAUUUUUUUUACUUCCAGCAUCACAUCCAAAGCUUGCAAAUCAACACAUGUAUUGUAUUUGUUUAUGGAUUGAAUAAAGGAGAUAUGUCAUU